UCCCUACUCCUACGGGAGGCAGCAGUAGGGAAUCUUCCACAAUGGACGAAAGUCUGAUGGAGCACCGCCGCGUGAGUGAAGAAGGGUUUCGGCUCGUAAAACUCUGUUGUUAAAGAAGAACAUAUCUGAGAGUAACUGUCAGGUAUGACGGUAUACCAGAUGUCCCACCCCC
rnacentral:rRNA from 1 species